AUGGCGGCGGCGAACGGAGGCGGCGCGGCGCUGUUCAGCGACGAGGAACUCCGGGAUGUGAGCGGGCUGCGCCUGCGCGAGGGCUUCGUGGAGAUGAUGUGCGGAUGCACCAGCCGCCGCUACGGCGACGCCGUAGGCCGCCUCCUAAUCUACCCGUCCGGCGAGCUGGAGAUUAGCUGCGACUGCACGCCCGGCUGCCGCGAAGAAAAGCUGACUCCUUCAGCGUUUGAGAAGCACUCUGGAAGGGAGACUGCAGGAAAGUGGAGGAACACCGUGUGGGUCAUGAUUGAUGGAGAAAAGGUUCCACUGGGAAAGACGGAAUUUCUCAAAUACUACAACCUGUCAAACAAGUCUGUUAAUGGUUCGAACAGAAGUCGUAGUGGACGUCCAUUGCACCGUGAUGAGUUCAUUCGCUGCACAAGAUGUGACAAGGAGAGGAGGUUCCGUCUUCGGACCAAAGAAGAGUGCCGUAUUUACCAUGAUGCUCUUGCAAAACCUAACCGGACAUGUGCAAAUUUGACGGCUGACAGCGUCACCUGCGAUGACGACGAGGAGCGAGGGAGCCGCAAGGUGAUCAAGGGCUGCUCCCGCGCUGCGUCGUGCGCGGGCUGCGAGAAGUGCGUGUGCUUCGGGUGCGAGAUGUGCCGCUUCACCGACUGCGGAUGCCAGACCUGCGUCGACUUCUACCGCAACUCCAAGGAGUAG
rnacentral:rRNA from 1 species